UACGUAGGUGGCGAGCGUUGUCCGGAGUUACUGGGCGUAAAGGGUGAGUAGGCGGGAUGUUGCGUCCCUGGUGAAAUCUCCUGGCUUAACUGGGAGGGGUUCAGGGAUACGGGCAUUCUUGAGGUCUGGAGAGGGUAGCAGAAUUCCCGGUGUAACAGUGAAAUGUGUAGAGAUCGGGAGGAAUACCGGAGGGGAAGCCGGCUAUCUGGCCAGGACCUGACGCUGAGGCACGAAAGCUUGGGGAG
rnacentral:rRNA from 1 species